GACGAACCGUGCGAACGUUGUUCGGAAUCACUGGGCUUAAAGGGCGCGUAGGCGGACCACCCAGUCCGGGGUGAAAUCUUUCGGCUCAACCGGAAAAGGGCCUUGGAUACUGGUGGUCUGGAGGAAGGUAGGGGCAUGCGGAACUUCCGGUGGAGCGGUGAAAUGCGUUGAUAUCGGAAGGAACACCAGUGGCGAAGGCGACUACCUGGCCUGUUCUUGACGCUGAGGCGCGAAAGCUAGGGGAGCAAACGGG
rnacentral:rRNA from 1 species